rnacentral:rRNA from 1 species
CUUGGUCAUUUAGAGGAAGUAAAAGUCGUAACAAGGUUUCCGUAGGUGAACCUGCGGAAGGAUCAUUAUCAUACAACUGAGGUGCAAAGGCUGUCGCUGACUUUUCGUCGUGCACGCCCGAGUGCUCUCAAACAUAUCCAUCUCACCCCUGUGCACCACCGCGUGGGUUCCCUUUUGGCUCGUUCCGAGGGGGGGCUCGCGUUUUCACACAAACUUGAUACGGUAUAGAAUGUCUUUGUUUGCGAUCACACGCAAUUAAUACAACUUUCAACAACGGAUCUCUUGGCUCUCGCAUCGAUGAAGAACGCAGCGAAAUGCGAUACGUAAUGUGAAUUGCAGAAUUCAGUGAAUCAUCGAAUCUUUGAACGCACCUUGCGCCCCUUGGUAUUCCGAGGGGCACACCCGUUUGAGUGUCGUGAAAAUCUCAACCUCCUCGGUUUCUUCUGGACGCCGAAGGAGGCUUGGACUUUGGAGGCCUUUGCUGGCGUCUCUCGCCAGCUCCUCUCAAAUGAAUUAGCGGGGUCCUCUUUGCCGAUCCUCGACGUGUGAUAAGAUGUUUCCAUGUCUUGGUUUCUGGCUCUGUCGCCUUUGGGACCCGCUUCUAACCGUCUCAAGUCGAGACAACGUUUGAGCGUGUCUCCCUUCUCGGGAAACACCCUCGAGCCCACGAACCCUUGACCUCAAAUCGGGUGAGACUACCCGCUGAACUUAAGCAUAUCAAUAAGCGGAGGA